rnacentral:rRNA from 1 species
AUGGCAUGGUGGAAGCUCUGUAUUCCAAAAAGUGAAGGAGGUAUUGGUUUUAGAGACCUAUAUUCUUUUAGUCUAGCUAUGUUGGAUAAACAAUGCUGGAGACUCGUCACUGAUCCAGAUUCUUUGGUGGCGAGAGUUUUAAAAGCUAAAUAUUAUCCUAAUGGAAGCAUUCUUUGCUACUCCAAAAAUGGGUCAUCUUUUACUUGGCAAAGUAUCCUUAAGGGAUUGGAAAAUUUUAAGAAAGGGUAUAUUUGGAGAAUUGGGACUAGGGAAGAAGUGAAUAUAUGGAAGGAUCCUUGGAUCCCAUCUAGUUCUGAUUCGAAGGUUAUCACUCCAUGGGGCCAAACAGUGUUGACACGAGUGUGUGAGUUAAUUGAUCCUAUGACAAUCACUUGGGAUGAGAACUUACUACAACAUAUUUUCUAUCCUGUAGAUGUGCGCAGAAUACUACAGAUUCCUACCAAUCUCCACGCCUUUGAUGAUUUUAUUGCGUGGCAACCAAAUUAGGCUGGUAUUUUCUUUAUCUGA